rnacentral:rRNA from 1 species
AUUGAACGCUGGCGGCAUGCUUUACACAUGCAAGUCGAACGGCAGCGCGGGCUUCGGCCUGGCGGCGAGUGGCGAACGGGUGAGUAAUGCAUCGGAACGUGCCCAGUAGUGGGGGAUAGCCCGGCGAAAGCCGGAUUAAUACCGCAUACGACCUGAGGGUGAAAGCGGGGGACCGAAAGGCCUCGCGCUAUUGGAGCGGCCGAUGUCGGAUUAGCUAGUUGGUGGGGUAAAGGCUUACCAAGGCGACGAUCCGUAGCUGGUCUGAGAGGACGACCAGCCGCACUGGGACUGAGACACGGCCCAGACUCCUACGGGAGGCAGCAGUGGGGAAUUUUGGACAAAGGGGGCAACCCUGAUCCAGCCAUGCCGCGUGCGGGAAGAAGGCCUUCGGGUUGUAAACCGCUUUUGUUCGGGAAGAAAUCCUCUGGGCUAAUACCCCGGGGGGAUGACGGUACCGGAAGAAUAAGCACCGGCUAACUACGUG